rnacentral:rRNA from 1 species
UACGGAGGGUGCAAGCGUUAUCCGGAUUCACUGGGUUUAAAGGGUGCGUAGGCGGGCAGGUAAGUCAGUGGUGAAAUCUUCAAGCUUAACUUGGAAACUGCCAUUGAUACUAUCUGUCUUGAAUGUUCUGGAGGUUAGCGGAAUGAUGUCAUGGUAGCGGUGAAAUGCUUAGAUAUCUGGAGGAACACCGGUGGCGAAGGCGGCGUUCUGGACUGUAACUGACACUGAGGAACGAAAGCCAGGGGAGCAAACGGG